rnacentral:rRNA from 1 species
GACGGAGGAUGCAAGUGUUAUCCGGAAUCACUGGGCGUAAAGCGUCUGUAGGUGGUUCGAAAAGUCCACUGUUAAAAAUUGAAGCUUAACUUCAAAGAUGCCGUGGAAACUUUCAAACUAGAGUGUGGUAGGGGUAGAGGGAAUUUCCAGUGGAGCGGUGAAAUGCGUAGAUAUUGGAAAGACCACCGAUGGCGGAGGCACUCUACUGGGCCAUUACUGACACUGAGAGACGAAAGCUAGGGGAGCAAAUGGG